UACGUAGGCAGCAAGCGUUGUUCGGAGUUACUGGGCGUAAAGGGUGUGUAGGCGGUUGGAUAAGUGUGGUGUGAAAUCUCCCGGCUUAACUGGGAGGGUGCGCUACAAACUGUCUGACUAGAGUGUGGGAUGGGUAAGUGGAAUUCCUGGUGUAGCGGUGAAAUGCGUAGAUAUCUGGAGGAACACCGGUGGCGAAGGCGGCAUCCUGGGACCAAUUCUGACGCUGAGGAGCGAAAAGCCAGGGGAGCAAACGGG
rnacentral:rRNA from 1 species